AAAACUGACGUCUCAUUGGCUGGUUCCCACGCAGGCGCGAUUUAUGCAAAAGAAGCCCAUUUUUCCACGCUGAUUUGCUUUUGUCCAACACAUCUGCGGAGUGUGUACGGUGGACAGGCCCUCGGGAGGUGAUCUUGUGAACACUUGCUGAGGAUCCUUGAUGCCGAGUGCAGGAUGUUUCCUACCAGUUUGAAGCCAUGUCUGAAGGGUUCCGAGGUGGAAUGUUCUGCGCUGGCCGAUGGCGGCGUCGGGGGGGGGGCACUGCACCGCAUGCCCAUGGUGACGAGGAAACAGCUGACGCAGGCAACAACGGCAUAGACCAACAUCUGAAGGAUGACAGGGAAAAAAAGCUCCAUCCCCCUGGAAAAGAAGGAAAGAAGGGAAGAAUAAUGUGGAUUUAUUGAGGAGAAAGAGAAGUAAAUAUUUGGUGGCGUUUAAGAAGUGUUUGUGUUCCACCUGCAUGACAAGAUGAGGACUUUUUUUAAGGCAGCACUUCCAACAAGAAGAAGAUGAGGACAUGUUUGAGGCAGCACUUCCAACAAGAAGAAGAAGAUGAGGACAUGUUUGAGGCAGCACUUCCAACAAGAAGAAGAAGAUGAGGACAUGUUUGAGGCAGCACUUCCAACAAGAAGAAGAUGAGGACAUGUUUGAGGCAGCACUUCCAACAAGAAGAAGAAGAUGAGGACAUGUUUGAGGCAGCACUUCCAACAAGAAGAAGAUGAGGACAUGUUUGAGGCAGCACUUCCAACAAGAAGAAGAAGAUGAGGACAUGUUUGAGGCAGCACUUCCAACAAGAAGAAGAUGAGGACAUGUUUGAGGCAGCACUUCCAACAAGAAGAAGAAGAUGAGGACAUGUUUGAGGCAGCACUUCCAACAAGAAGAAGAUGAGGACAUGUUUGAGGCAGCACUUCCAACAAGAAGAAGAAGAUGAGGACAUGUUUGAGGCAGCACUUCCAACAAGAAGAAGAUGAGGACAUGUUUGAGGCAGCACUUCCAACAAGAAGAAGAAGAUGAGGACAUGUUUGAGGCAGCACUUCCAACAAGAAGAAGAUGAGGACAUGUUUGAGGCAGCACUUCCAACAAGAAGAAGAUGAGGACAUGUUUGAGGCAGCACUUCCAACAAGAAGAAGAUGAGGACAUGUUUGAGGCAGCACUUCCAACAAGAAGAAGAAGAUGAGGACAUGUUUGAGGCAGCACUUCCAACAAGAAGAAGAAGAUGAGGACAUGUUUGAGGCAGCACUUCCAACAAGAAGAAGAAGAUGAGGACAUGUUUGAGGCAGCACUUCCAACAAGAAGAAGAAGAGGACAUGUUUGAGGCAGCACUUCCAACAAGAAGAAGAUGAGGACAUGUUUGAGGCAGCACUUCCAACAAGAAGAAGAUGAGGACAUGUUUGAGGCAGCACUUCCAACAAGAAGAAGAUGAGGACAUGUUUGAGGCAGCACUUCCAACAAGAAGAAGAUGAGGACAUGUUUGAGGCAGCACUUCCAACAAGAAGAAGAUGAGGACAUGUUUGAGGCAGCACUUCCAACAAGAAGAAGAUGAGGACAUGUUUGAGGCAGCACUUCCAACAAGAAGAAGAUGAGGACAUGUUUGAGGCAGCACUUCCAACAAGAAGAAGAUGAGGACAUGUUUGAGGCAGCACUUCCAACAAGAAGAAGAUGAGGACAUGUUUGAGGCAGCACUUCCAACAAGAAGAAGAAGAUGAGGACAUGUUUGAGGCAGCACUUCCAACAAGAAGAAGAUGAGGACAUGUUUGAGGCAGCACUUCCAACAAGAAGAAGAUGAGGACAUGUUUGAGGCAGCACUUCCAACAAGAAGAAGAAGAUGAGGACAUGUUUGAGGCAGCACUUCCAACAAGAAGAAGAUGAGGACAUGUUUGAGGCAGCACUUCCAACAAGAAGAAGGACUAGAAGUGACGUCAUACCUGAGUGGAAAAAGUUUGGACACCCCUGCCAUAUGGUCUCCACAUCAAAGGUCCAUUUCCCUACGAAGACCAUGCAUCCUGCCCAUCAACCAAUGGCCUCAGCAGCCAAGUUUGAUCACUCUAUGGAGGCUGUACACCCCUCCCAUCCCCACACCGCUGGCCCAUCACCAAAUGUCCACACCUAUGGUCCUUCACCCGGCGUACACAAUAGCUUGCUACCUGAAUCCACCUGAGAAUAAAAAGGCAGCUUUCCUGGCACCAGACAGGAGAGAUGCAGGCAACCCAUCUAUUGAGGACACUAUCUGUUAUCAACCACAGGCAGAAAAAUCAUGGACGCCAUGUGAUGGAAAAAAUGUGGGCAGAAAAAGAAGGAAUUGAAGAAGUCCUCUUGAAAAUAGGUAAGUAGCAUUCAUGAUGUCAUUGUUUUGUUGACUUCAACUUUGAACACAUUUUCUCCUUCUGCUAUUGUUUGUGCUCUUUUUUCCCUUUCAGAUCCGGUCCAAGUCAGAGUACUUCAAACUCUCUGCGACUUGGUUGGAGACAAAUACAGCGACGGCCCUCCUCAACAAUCGGGCCAGCAAGAGCUCUUUCCUGAGAGCGGCGUAUUCAUAUCAUUGUUCCGCCUUGCUGCCAUGAGACAUGCUGCAGAGCCCAAAUGUUUGGACCUCUUUUUUCUACCUGUCAAAAUGCUGUCCCUUUUUGACGCCCUGGAAACAAACCGGAAAAAAGUGGAAGGAAUCCUUAGUAAGUUUUCCCAAACAGAGGGUGUUUUCAGGCCAAAAUUGGGUCACAAUAAUGAAAUAGAAGUUCAAUAUGAGAAAUGUUGAUCCCUUUUCGAUUACAGCAGACUGGAAGCAUAACUGAAUGUUACAUCAUUACAAUUUGUUAUCCACUCCAAACUAGCGUUAUGAUGAGCAAUAUAGUCUGAUGUCCAUCAACUUGAAGUGUGCUUGUGUGUAUUAAUGGUUUUGCGUAAAUGAAGGCUUUAAAGGGCAAUAAAAAAGCAUUAAAUGAGGCAUUUAAAAAAGGGAAUAGGAUUGUAGGACAUGGCGGACAGUCAAUAUGUCAAACGGUAAAGGAAAAUGAACUUAAGAAGGUUACAGUCGUUUCUUUUUUGAACUGCAUACAAGAGGUAUUGUAAGGUGGGAACACGACAAAAGCACUGCUUCAAUCACGCAAAAUGAAACAUCAACUUUUCCAUUCUUUGGUCACUGUAGGCGUGUAGUCCUUAACUGUGACACCAUGUCAGGAUAAUGGAGAAGCUGAGCCGACACGGAGUCGUUUAUUUCAAU